rnacentral:tmRNA from 1 species
GGGGGUGACAGGUCUCGACUUCGGACGUUACGGCAGGAGAAGCGAGCCGAGGAAGCCGACGUUGUCUCGAUAAUCAUCGUCGGAAACCCAUAAGCGCCAACUCAAAUAGCGCUGACCUGACCCAGAAGGAAAUGGCUCUCGCCGCCUGAGGCAAGAGUUAGGUCUAGGUCUGUCGGACCGGGGUUGCCUUCGACCCGGAUUCCGGCAUCAGUGAGAAGGCUGGCCGACUGAGCCCUGUCGUGGGGCCCACGAGGUGAGAUGAAUCGCGACUGGACCCGUCAUCCCGACUCGCUCGCGUGAUCGGGAGGGCCGAGUAGAGACAUAGCGAGCUGCGCUCGGAGAAGUCCUGGCAAGACGACGAAGGACCCGGGUUCGAUUCCCGGCACCUCCACCA